rnacentral:tRNA from 1 species
UGGCUCAGUGGUAGAGUGCUUGCCUUACAUGCAUGAAGUCCUGGGUUCGAUUCCUCAG